GACGAGCCUCACAAACGUUAUUCGGAAUUACUGGGCUUAAAGGGUGCGUAGGCGGCGCGGAAAGUUGGGUGUGAAAUCCCUCGGCUUAACCGAGGAACUGCGCCCAAAACUACCGUGCUCGAGGAAGAUAGAGGUGAGCGGAACUUACGGUGGAGCGGUGAAAUGCGUUGAUAUCGUAAGGAACACCCGUGGCGAAAGCGGCUCCCUGGGUCUUUUCUGACGCUGAUGCACGAAAGCUAGGGGAGCAAACGGG
rnacentral:rRNA from 1 species